UACGGAGGGUGCAAGCGUUAUCCGGAUUCACUGGGUUUAAAGGGUGCGUAGGAGGGCAGGUAAGUCAGUGGUGAAAUCUUCGAGCUUAACUCGGAAACUGCCAUUGAUACUAUUUAUCUUGAAUACUUUGGAGGUAAGCGGAAUAUGUCAUGUAGCGGUGAAAUGCUUAGAUAUGACAUAGAACACCAAUUGCGAAGGCAGCUUACUACACAGUUAUUGACACUGAGGCACGAAAGCGUGGGGAUCAAACAGG
rnacentral:rRNA from 1 species